rnacentral:rRNA from 1 species
CCUACGGGUGGCAGCAGUGAGGAAUAUUGGUCAAUGGACGAGAGUCUGAACCAGCCAAGUAGCGUGAAGGAUGACUGCCCUAUGGGUUGUAAACCUCUUUUAUAUGGGAAUAAAAUGUUCCAUGUGUGGGAUUUUGUAUGUACCAUAUGAAUAAGGAUCGGCUAACUCAGUGCCAGCAGCCGCGGUAAUGCGGAGGAUCCGAGCGUUAUCCGGAUUUAUUGGGUUUAAAGGGAGCGUAGGUGGAUUGUUAAGUCAGUUGUGAAAGUUUGCGGCUCAACCGUAAAAUUGCAGUUGAAACUGGCAGUCUUGAGUACAGUAGAGGUGGGCGGAAUUCGUGGUGUAGCGGUGAAAUGCUUAGAUAUCACGAAGAACUCCGAUUGCGAAGGCAGUUCACUGGACUGCAACUGACACUGAGGCUCGAAAGUGUGGGUAUCAAACAGGAUUAGAUACCCGGGUAGUC